rnacentral:rRNA from 1 species
AGCGGCGGACGGGUGAGUAACGCGUGGGAAUAUGCCCUUCUCUAAGGAAUAGCCUCGGGAAACUGAGAGUAAUACCUUAUACGCCCUUCGGGGGAAAGAUUUAUCGGAGAAGGAUUAGCCCGCGUUAGAUUAGGUAGUUGGUGGGGUAAUGGCCUACCAAGCCUACGAUCUAUAGCUGGUUUGAGAGGAUGAUCAGCCACACUGGGACUGAGACACGGCCCAGACUCCUACGGGAGGCAGCAGUAGGGAAUCUUAGACAAUGGGGGAAACCCUGAUCUAGCCAUGCCGCGUGUGUGAUGAAGGCCUUAGGGUCGUAAAGCACUUUCGCCAGAGAUGAUAAUGACAGUAUCUGGUAAAGAAACCCCGGCUAACUCCGUGCCAGCAGCCGCGGUAAUACGGAGGGGGUUAGCGUUGUUCGGAAUUACUGGGCGUAAAGCGCACGUAGGCGGAUUAGUAAGUUAAGGGUGAAAUCCCAGGGCUCAACCCUGGAACUGCCUUUAAUACUGCUAGUCUUGAGUUCGAGAGAGGUAAGUGGAAUUCCAAGUGUAGAGGUGAAAUUCGUAGAUAUUUGGAGGAACACCAGUGGCGAAGGCGGCUUACUGGCUCGAAACUGACGCUGAGGUGCGAAAGUGUGGGGAGCAAACAGGAUUAGAUACCCUGGUAGUCCACACCGA